rfam:Triticum aestivum genome assembly, contig: Triticum_aestivum_CS42_TGACv1_scaffold_581407_7BL
GUAGUAUUCCCUCCGUCCCAAAAUUCUUGUCUUACAUUUGUUUAGAUACGGAUGUAUCUAAAACUAAAAGUAACUAGAUAUAUCCAUACUUAGACAAAUUUAAGACAAGAAUUUUGGGACGGAGGGAGUACAAA